UUUUUCAAGUGUUAUCACAACUAGGGUGAUAAGCACAGCCGCUCGGCACUCGUCGGACUUUUCUACUAUUGUGCCAAUGUGUUUGAACGUCACUGAAUACAAUAUUUUGGAAAUCGGCAAGAAAUGUUUAAUUUUUCGUAAAAUGUGUGAGCAAGAUGUGAAGAAUAUUGUAGAGAAGUGAAAAUGGAAGAUGACUUCGGACGAGAAGCUGCAUCUUCUGUGAAGGAUUAGUGAUAAAAGUCGGUCAACUGCAAGGCAAGUUGCAGAAGAUGGGCUCGGAGAGAAAUUGCCGAAGAACAUCUUCCGUGCGCAUAUUCUUCAGCAUUACUUCAAUGAAUUGCUGACAAACUGAGAUAGGACGAUUUCUGGAGUAAAAGAAUCACUGUGGAGCGAUUUUUAAACAACCCGACGAAUCCGCAGUAGACGCUGAACGCGCCAUCAGAUAUUGAGAGUGGGCGAAUCAUCAAUUUUUGUUAGGAAAUCAUUCGUCCCGAAUUAAAAUUUAGGAGGAAUUCUUCCAAGAUGUCAUCAGAAUAUUGCAGAAUUAGUUCACCUUCUGUACUUUCCUGGACUAAAAGAUGCCGCGAAUAAAGAUCAACUCUAUUUGAAGGAAUGUAAUUCAACUUAAUUCGCGGCUCUAGAUCUCGUUAACGCUCUCACUAGCGUUUACUCGGAAAAUUCGCCUUCCGCGAUAUAAAAUACAGGAUUUGCAAUGUAAUGAAUCACGAUCAUAAUAUUUUUUGGCCAAAUUAUUUAAAAAAAAAUCAUGUAAAAUUGGUAUUAAAUGCAUGAACUUCCACAUAAAAUAAUGCUUGAUAGUUUUAUAUAAUUUAAAUUUUGUGAGGAAAUAAGAGAAAUAAAAACCUUGCAUAAAAUACACUUUAAAUUUGUGUUCUUGGCUGUGUUGGAGCAUAAGAUUAUAAAUUACUACUUUUUUUUUGCAAUUUUUUAGUCCAUGUCGAAUUAAAAUCAAAAUUGAUGUUGCAAUUAACUUAAACCAUUACGGCAUAAACACCCUCAAUGAUUUCUCCCCAUAGAAAUGUUAUAUAUUAUUAUUUUUAUUAUUUAUAAAGGCAGUGUAAUGAGAAAAUAACCAUAUUUUUUUAUUUGCAUUCUUCUUUGAUAGCUUACAAGCUAUUAAUUCCCAAUCAACUAAAAAUACCUUCCAAAGCAGUCGUCAUCUGACCAGCGUAGACACGAUACAAGAUGUUAAACUCAUGCAAAAUACACAGAAGUCAGUAGAGAUAUCUAUCAGUCAAUGGAAAGUUGUUACAUUUCGAACUUUCCAAUGUGUAGGAAAAUCAAAUUUGAGGACAAGACGGACAUACAGGCAUAUCAGCUACUUACUACAGUUUUUACUUGUUUUACUGCA